rnacentral:rRNA from 1 species
AGUGAACGCUGGCGGUAGGCCUAACACAUGCGAGUCGAACGGCAGCACAGUAAGAGCUUGCUCUUACGGGUGGCGAGUGGCGGACGGGUGAGGAAUACAUCGGAAUCUACUUUUUCGUGGGGGAUAACGUAGGGAAACUUACGCUAAUACCGCAUACGACCUACGGGUGAAAGCAGGGGAUCUUCGGACCUUGCGCGAUUGGAUGAGCCGAUGUCGGAUUAGCUAGUUGGCGGGGUAAAGGCCCACCAAGGCGACGAUCCGUAGCUGGUCUGAGAGGAUGAUCAGCCACACUGGAACUGAGACACGGUCCAGACUCCUACGGGAGGCAGCAGUGGGGAAUAUUGGACAAUGGGCGCAAGCCUGAUCCAGCCAUACCGCGUGGGUGAAGAAGGCCUUCGGGUUGUAAAGCCCUUUUGUUGGGAAAGAAAAGCAGCAGGUUAAUACCCCGCUGUUCUGACGGUACCCAAAGAAUAAGCACCGGCUAACUUCGUG